AUGGGCCCCUCUGUGAAAACAGACCCGACGCCAUCUGUAGGUGUGCAAAAGUGCCUACAAUGCCCUGGAUGCACAAGAACCACCUGUGCAGCUCUGAUGAGGAGACCUAGACAGGCAGAGGGAUUGGCAUCUGCACGCAUGGAAGGAGCAUCCCAAGGAUGGGCAGAGGGAUUGGCAUCUGCACGCAUGGAAGGAGCAUCCCAAGGAUGGGCAGAGGGAUUGGCAUCUGCACACAUGGAAGGAGCAUCCCAAGGACGGGCAGAGGGAUUGGCAUCUGCCCCCAGGGAAGGAGCAUCCCAAGGAUGGGCAGAGGGAUUGGCAUCUGCACGCAUGGAAGGAGCAUCCCAAGGACGGGCAGAGGGAUUGGCAUCUGCACCCAGGGAAGGAGCAUCCCAAGGAUGGGCAGAGGGAUUGGCAUCUGCCCCCAGGGAAGGAGCAUCCCAAGGACUGGCAGAGGGAUUGGCAUCUGCACACAUGGAAGGAGCAUCCCAAGGAUGGGCAGAGGGAUUGGCAUCUGCACACAUGGAAGGAGCAUCCCAAGGACGGGCAGAGGGAUUGGCAUCUGCACGCAUGGAAGGAGCAUCCCAAGGAUGGGCAGAGGGAUUGGCAUCUGCCCCCAGGGAAGGAGCAUCCCAAGGAUGGGCAGAGGGAUUGGCAUCUGCACGCAUGGAAGGAGCAUCCCAAGGACGGGCAGAGGGAUUGGCAUCUGCACCCAGGGAAGGAGCAUCCCAAGGAUGGGCAGAGGGAUUGGCAUCUGCAUGCAGGGAAGGAACAUCCCAAGGAUGGGCAGAGGGAUUGGCAUCUGCAUGCAGGGAAGGAACAUCCCAAGGAUGGGCAGAGGGAUUGGCAUCUGCAUGGAGGGAAGGAGCAUCCCAAGUGCUGGGCCCACAGAUCCAUGGCAGUGCGCACUGUGUGCGGGAAGUCACAGGCGCCCUUGCCCUGGAGGAGCUUCCAUCCCUUCCAUCUAUUGCGCCCUGCACAAACUUGCUUGGCCCUGCCCUGGGGCUCGUUGUGGAGGGGGGCUUGCAGCCCCCUGGGAGGGUUUGUCCUUGGAAAUCCCAGCUUCCUUUCUAG
rnacentral:lncRNA from 1 species